rnacentral:tRNA from 1 species
GCGCCCGUGGCGGAAUUGGCAGACGCGCUGGAUUUAGGUUCCAGUGUCUAAGGACGUGGGGGUUCAAGUCCCCCCGGGCGCACCA